rnacentral:lncRNA from 1 species
UGUAGAGGCGAGCUGGGCUCUCUCAGAUAGCUGCCUCUGAAGGUGGGCAACUUCAUCGAUCACUGUCUGGAGCUUCCUUCGGUAGUCCUCUACUUGCCCACUCCAGCCGACUCGGUAGGCAUCAUAAUUCGCCUCAGUAUUCUGUAGCUACUUUUGGAGGUCGGAGAGCUUCUGCGAUUAGUCUCAGUCGCAGUCGGCUUGGACUGUGAGCCAAGACAAGCUCCC